CAGAGAGUGUUAAGCUAAAGGCGUUGAUAUCUUGGAUAAAACAUGAGCAAAGAAAUCGCAAAAAACUUCUGAAGAAAUUGAGCACCUACAUUGAUUUGCAUAAAGUACCGGUGACUUAUAGAAGAUUCCUUGUUGAAAACGAGCCAAUGGUAAAGUCAUGUAUUGAAUGCUAUCAAGCCCUCUGCAUCUCUGUGAUGGAUAGCUUGAACGUUGGUGCUUCCGAUGUUCCUUCUGCUGAGAAUAUAAGACAAGGAGAAAAAGAAGCAAUUGCAUUGUUU